rnacentral:rRNA from 1 species
AUACGUAGGUGGCAAGCGUUGUCCGGAAUUAUUGGGCGUAAAGCGCGCGCAGGUGGUUCCUUAAGUCUGAUGUGAAAGCCCCCGGCUCAACCGGGGAGGGUCAUUGGAAACUGGGGAACUUGAGUGCAGAAGAGGAUGGUGGAAUUCCAAGUGUAGCGGUGAAAUGCGUAGAGAUUUGGAGGAACACCAGUGGCGAAGGCGAAUGUCGGGUCUGUAACUGACACUGGGGCGCGAAAGCGUGGGGAGCAAACAGGAUUAGAUACCCUGGUAGUCCACGCCGUAAACGAUGAGUGCUAAGUGUUGGGGGGUUUCCGCCCCUCAGUGCUGCAGCUAACGCAUUAAGCACUCCGCCUGGGGAGUACGGUCGCAAGACUGAAACUCAAAUGAAUUGACGGGG